rnacentral:rRNA from 1 species
AGAGUUUGAUCCUGGCUCAGGAUGAACGCUAGCUACAGGCUUAACACAUGCAAGUCGAGGGGCAGCGGGAUUGAAGCUUGCUUCAAUUGCCGGCGACCGGCGCACGGGUGAGUAACGCGUAUCCAACCUUCCGUACACUCAGGGGUAGCCUUUCGAAAGAAAGAUUAAUACCUGAUGGUAUCUUAAGCACACAUGUAAUUAAGAUUAAAGAUUUAUCGGUGUACGAUGGGGAUGCGUUCCAUUAGGUAGUAGGCGGGGUAACGGCCCACCUAGCCUACGAUGGAUAGGGGUUCUGAGAGGAAGGUCCCCCACAUUGGAACUGAGACACGGUCCAAACUCCUACGGGAGGCAGCAGUGAGGAAUAUUGGUCAAUGGACGAGAGUCUGAACCAGCCAAGUAGCGUGAAGGAUGAAGGUCCUACGGAUUGUAAACUUCUUUUAUAAGGGAAUAAACCCUCCCACGUGUGGGAGCUUGUAUGUACCUUAUGAAUAAGCAUCGGCUAACUCCGUGCCAGCAGCCGCGGU